rnacentral:lncRNA from 1 species
UGUAAUAAUAUUUUAGCAACAAAGAUUAACUAUAAAAUCCACAAUAAAGAAUUUUUUGCAAUUAUGGAUUUUUUUCAAGAAUGGCAUCAUUAUUUAGAAGGUACUUCUAGUCUAGUUACCAUAUAUAGAUAUCACAAGAAAAUUAAGUAUUUUAAGUCAAAGUAGGUGUUAAAUUAUUGUUAGGCUUAUUAAAGCAUGUGAGCUCUGAUUUAUGAUCCAAAAUUUCAUUUUUAAAUUUUUUCUUAUUUUAUGAUAAUUGAGUAUGUUAGAUUAGGAUUUUUAUAAGUAGAAUCUAGUUUUAUUAAAUUUUUCGGAUUAUAACCUUUGAUGGUAUAAAUCCUAGCCUGAUUCCUUGAGUUAGGUUAAUUAAGACCAAAAUGAUAAGGAUUAGAAAAUUAGAAUAGUAAUUUGAUUAAUUUUAAUAAUUUAGAGGUUUUUAGUCAUUGCUAUAAAGGUUGAUUGUGAGUCUAUGAGUUCACCUACAAUCAU